rnacentral:rRNA from 1 species
GGUUAAGUUAGAAAGGGCGCACGGUGGAUGCCUUGACACUAGGAGUCGAUGAAGGACGGGACUAACGCCGAUAUGCUUCGGGGAGCUGUAAGUAAGCUUUGAUCCGAAGAUUUCCGAAUGGGGAAACCCACCAUACGUAAUGGUAUGGUAUCCUUAUCUGAAUACAUAGGGUAAGGAAGACAGACCCAGGGAACUGAAACAUCUAAGUACCUGGAGGAAGAGAAAGCAAAUGCGAUUUCCUGAGUAGCGGCGAGCGAAACGGAACAUAGCCCAAACCAAGAGGCUUGCCUCUUGGGGUUGUAGGACAUUCUAUACGGAGUUACAAAGGAACGAGGUAGACGAAGCGACCUGGAAAGGUCCGUCGUAGAGGGUAACAACCCCGUAGUCGAAACUUCGUUCUCUCUUGAAUGUAUCCUGAGUACGGCGGAACACGUGAAAUUCCGUCGGAAUCUGGGAGGACCAUCUCCCAAGGCUAAAUACUCCCUAGUGAUCGAUAGUGAACCAGUACCGUGAGGGAAAGGUGAAAAGCACCCCGGAAGGGGAGUGAAAGAGAUCCUGAAACCGUGUGCCUACAAAUAGUCAGAGCCCGUUAACGGGUGAUGGCGUGCCUUUUGUAGAAUGAACCGGCGAGUUACGAUCCCGUGCGAGGUUAAGCUGAAGAGGCGGAGCCGCAGCGAAAGCGAGUCUGAAUAGGGCGUUUAGUACGUGGUCGUAGACCCGAAACCAGGUGAUCUACCCAUGUCCAGGGUGAAGUUCAGGUAACACUGAAUGGAGGCCCGAACCCACGCACGUUGAAAAGUGCGGGGAUGAGGUGUGGGUAGCGGAGAAAUUCCAAUCGAACCUGGAGAUAGCUGGUUCUCCCCGAAAUAGCUUUAGGGCUAGCCUUAAGUGUAAGAGUCUUGGAGGUAGAGCACUGAUUGGACUAGGGGUCCUCAUCGGAUUACCGAAUUCAGUCAAACUCCGAAUGCCAAUGACUUAUCCUUAGGAGUCAGACUGCGAGUGAUAAGAUCCGUAGUCAAAAGGGAAACAGCCCAGACCGCCAGCUAAGGUCCCAAAGUGUGUAUUAAGUGGAAAAGGAUGUGGAGUUGCUUAGACAACUAGGAUGUUGGCUUAGAAGCAGCCACCAUUUAAAGAGUGCGUAAUAGCUCACUAGUCGAGUGACUCUGCGCCGAAAAUGUACCGGGGCUAAAUACACCACCGAAGCUGCGGAUUGAUACCAAUGGUAUCAGUGGUAGGGGAGCGUUCUAAGGACAGUGAAGUCAGACCGGAAGGACUGGUGGAGUGCUUAGAAGUGAGAAUGCCGGUAUGAGUAGCGAAAGACGGGUGAGAAUCCCGUCCACCGAAUGCCUAAGGUUUCCUGAGGAAGGCUCGUCCGCUCAGGGUUAGUCAGGACCUAAGCCGAGGCCGACAGGCGUAGGCGAUGGACAACAGGUUGAUAUUCCUGUACCACCUCUUUAUCGUUUGAGCAAUGGAGGGACGCAGAAGGAUAGAAGAAGCGUGCGAUUGGUUGUGCACGUCCAAGCAGUUAGGCUGAUAAGUAGGCAAAUCCGCUUAUCGUAAAGGCUGAGCUGUGAUGGGGGAAGCUCCUUAUGGAGCGAAGUCUUUGAUUCCCCGCUGCCAAGAAAAGCUUCUAGCGAGAUAAAAGGUGCCUGUACCGCAAACCGACACAGGUAGGCGAGGAGAGAAUCCUAAGGUGUGCGAGAGAACUCUGGUUAAGGAACUCGGCAAAAUGACCCCGUAACUUCGGGAGAAGGGGUGCUUUCUUAACGGAAAGCCGCAGUGAAUAGGCCCAAGCGACUGUUUAGCAAAAACACAGCUCUCUGCGAAGCCGUAAGGCGAAGUAUAGGGGGUGACACCUGCCCGGUGCUGGAAGGUUAAGGAGAGGGGUUAGCGUAAGCGAAGCUCUGAACUGAAGCCCCAGUAAACGGCGGCCGUAACUAUAACGGUCCUAAGGUAGCGAAAUUCCUUGUCGGGUAAGUUCCGACCCGCACGAAAGGUGUAACGAUUUGGGCACUGUCUCAACCAGAGACUCGGUGAAAUUAUAGUACCUGUGAAGAUGCAGGUUACCCGCGACAGGACGGAAAGACCCCGUGGAGCUUUACUGUAGCCUGAUAUUGAAUUUUGGUACAGUUUGUACAGGAUAGGCGGGAGCCAUUGAAACCGGAGCGCUAGCUUCGGUGGAGGCGCUGGUGGGAUACCGCCCUGACUGUAUUGAAAUUCUAACCUACGGGUCUUAUCGACCCGGGAGACAGUGUCAGGUGGGCAGUUUGACUGGGGCGGUCGCCUCCUAAAGUGUAACGGAGGCGCCCAAAGGUUCCCUCAGAAUGGUUGGAAAUCAUUCGUAGAGUGCAAAGGCAUAAGGGAGCUUGACUGCGAGACCUACAAGUCGAGCAGGGACGAAAGUCGGGCUUAGUGAUCCGGUGGUUCCGCAUGGAAGGGCCAUCGCUCAACGGAUAAAAGCUACCCCGGGGAUAACAGGCUUAUCUCCCCCAAGAGUCCACAUCGACGGGGAGGUUUGGCACCUCGAUGUCGGCUCAUCGCAUCCUGGGGCUGUAGUCGGUCCCAAGGGUUGGGCUGUUCGCCCAUUAAAGCGGUACGCGAGCUGGGUUCAGAACGUCGUGAGACAGUUCGGUCCCUAUCCGUCGUGGGCGUAGGAAAUUUGAGAGGAGCUGUCCUUAGUACGAGAGGACCGGGAUGGACGCACCGCUGGUGUACCAGUUGUUCUGCCAAGGGCAUAGCUGGGUAGCUAUGUGCGGAAGGGAUAAGUGCUGAAAGCAUCUAAGCAUGAAGCCCCCCUCAAGAUGAGAUUUCCCAUAGCGUAAGCUAGUAAGAUCCCUGAAAGAUGAUCAGGUUGAUAGGUUCGAGGUGGAAGCAUGGUGACAUGUGGAGCUGACGAAUACUAAUAGAUCGAGGACUUAACCAU